GUGGGGAAUAUUCCGCAAUGGACGAAAGUCUGACGGAGCAACGCCGCGUGAGUGAUGAAGGUUUUCGGACUGUAAAGCUCUGUUGUUUGGGACGAAAGUGCCUGUUGCGAACAGUUACGGGUAUUGACGGUACUAAACGAGGAAGCCACGGCUAACUACGUGCCAGCAGCCGCGGUAAUACGUAGGUGGCAAGCGUUGUCCGGAAUUAUUGGGCGUAAAGAGCAUGUAGGCGGAGAUUUAAGUCUGUUGUGAAAAUGCGGGGCUCAACCCCGUAUUGCGAUGGAAACUGAAUUUCUUGAGUGCAGGAGAGGAAAGGGGAAUUCCCAGUGUAGCGGUGAAAUGCGUAGAUAUUGGGAGGAACACCAGUGGCGAAGGCGCCUUUCUGGACUGUGUCUGACGCUGAGAUGCGAAAGCCAGGGUAGCGAACGGGAUUAGAAACCCCUGUAGUCC
rnacentral:rRNA from 1 species